rnacentral:rRNA from 1 species
UACGUAGGGGGCAAGCGUUGUCCGGAUUUAUUGGGCGUAAAGAGCGUGUAGGCGGCCAAGCAGGUCCGCUGUGAAAACUCGAGGCUCAACCUCGAGACGUCGGUGGAAACCGUUUGGCUAGAGUCCGGAAGAGGAGAGUGGAAUUCCCGGUGUAGCGGUGAAAUGCGCAGAUAUCGGGAGGAACACCAAUGGCGAAGGCAGCUCGCUGGGACGUGACUGACGCUGAGACGCGAAAGCGUGGGGAGCAAACAGG